GGGCUCCCUUCAUUGUCAGUGUAAGGUGGUAAUGUUGAGCUGUGGGAACAUCAGAGGGGAAGUAUUCAGAUCACCCGGCCGUUGGUCCAGCCCCUUUCACAAGGGCCAAGAACAUGGGCUAUCUAUCUUCCUCUGGCUACCAGGGAUAGCUUGAACACUGCCUGCAGCAGUCAGCAUGGCUGGGCUUUGUAAACAGAAGCCUGACCCAUUUAACUCUUCCCAGGGGUUGGGUAAGAGGCUUGACUCAUGGCAGACAUGAAACUGCGGCCUAAUUGGAUGCUAAUUACUCAGAAGAACACUAUUUACCCAAACUUGCAGUAAACCAAGCUCCUCACGAAAUGAGAGCAGGCAGCAAGGAACACGAUGGAGAUCGAGACAUCCUCCUGGAAAGUCCUUUUUUAAAAAAAGAUACGAUGUUACUAAUUGCAUAAGACUAAACAAAGGCAAGACCGGUGAAGCCCCCUUCUGGGCUGAGGAUGGCCUCUGUGCUUCUACAGUGACUGUUCACCUGGAAACAUUUGCAGAUACGGGAGGCUAACGGAAGUCCUAGAGCCAAGCGGAAGGAAGCAAGCAGGAUUUCCCACAGUGUGGGAAACCCCUUCGUGAUGGGCGCAACCUUCAAGGGAAACACAUCUCUGUGCGCGAUGCAGUGUCAUGUGACGCAGCCACCAUUUCUGACACGGUCGAUAUGAACGUCAGGCCCGACUCUCUCCGCAGACCCAAGACGCACGAACCCAAACAUUAAAGAGAUGUGCGGACACAGGAAACAACGCGAUGAUAACCAGGAAUGGAUCGAAUUGUGGGUGGCUUGUUCGCCACCAGCUCCCUGGAGGGUGUGAGACACCGAUUUGACCCACUGCUGACUCUGACUUUUCCCAGCACCGUCACAGGCAGUUGGGAAACUUGCGGGGCCUGGGUGUGGCCUGCUUCUUAGCAUCUACUUUCAGACUCUCGAGUGUAGAAAUACCCUGGGAGCCAGAACACACCUUCUGUGACCACGCGCCCUGUGGUUGUCUUACCACUCUGAGAGUUCCGGCAAGAGGAGUGGAGCUGUGUGACCCUCCAGUGACCAAGCUGCUUCAACCUCAGACUCUAACGUUUCACACAAGCUCCCGAAAGUUCUCCUCCAAAAUUCUGACAAAGACAAGGCCAAUCUUUCUAUUCUAAUCUAGGUAAAUUUUCACAAGAAACAGAUUUUUUUCUUCUUCUCCUUCUUCUUUGAGGAAGGGCUCAGUGGACUGCAUCGGUGAGCGGUACAGAAUGGGUUCAAAUUCUCAUCUACCGCCUCUGGGUCGGGACCAGGAAGGAGAGAUAUUCCAAGGAGCCAACAUUACAAGGAGGAGGCAUUGGCAUAAACCAAACACUUUUAUUAUUUGAGGAGGAAAAGGCCAAAUCACAAAACCUUUAAUACUCAAGACCCUCCAAGGUUCAACCAUGUAAAGCUGCCAUCUUGGCUGACAAAAACUCAGGGGUAGACGUGGCAAUUUCACGUGGCUCAACUGCAUAUAAACCGAAGGGUUGGCCAAGCUUUGGACAGGAGCACACGUUCCCCGUCCCGUGUCUGUUUACAUUAUAGACAGGUGUCCCAGUGACACACAGGUCCCGUCUGAAAGGCAGCCUCUGCUUAGCUGCAGAGCAUUCAGUCUGCAGGCCAAGGCUCCCAGGACUGGCACAGCAGGUCCUCGCCGUUCUUGGGUCCAUUUGCAAGGUCUCGUGGUUUGAUGACUCUCUGUCGGUGUCACCUGCUGGCCCCGAGGCCACCCUGCCGGUGAACGGCAAAGUGUGUGCUCCUGCUUUUGAAACCCAGUGACGGGGUGAAAGCUUUGGGGUCUCGAGGUGGGGUCUCGAGCUCUUCACCAGAUAGGAACACCGCGCAAGCAGCUCCGCCCUGUUUCCCAUCUUGCUUUGGCCCUGCCUGUGCUCCUGGGUAUCCGAGGCCAAGAAAAAUAAGAGGAGUAAACCCUCUCAGGACACGGAGCAGAAAGAGGCACGUGCAACCCAGAUGCAAGAAACACGGCAGGUCAGGGGGAUGGGAAGCGCCAGGCUUCACUUGAGGUCAAAGGCUGAUGGACGAUCGAUCCCUCCCGACUGCCCUCGGCGCUGCCCGACACAUUUCCCUUUACACGAGCGAAGAUAAAAAUAAAGCUUUCGUACAAAUUACA